GCCUUUCCCCCCUCUUUUUUGUAUCAACAACGGUCUCGCACUUUCUGUCUCAUUUCUAAUUUAGUUGUUUUAUUUCUUCCUUGUAGUCAAACAUGGACUCUGCAACUUUGGGAACGGGAUAUUCUUCUACCUUGAUUGCUGGAUUCUCUAAAUGGAGGAACCCUAGCUCAAUCCCUAGAUCUAUUCAGUUCGUACGACACCAACAAAAUAAAAGAAAUCUCUUGUUCAAAUCUUUGAAAUGCGUUCUCAUCUCCCAUCCCAGUAUCGCCGCCGUUAGGCUUCGAAGCCUGGCUUCAGAGUUUACGGGGCUCACGGAGCCGAUUGAUCGCGUGAAACGUCUUUUAUAUUACGCGGAGCUUCUCCCGCCGUUCGACGAGUCGGCUCGCGUGCCGGCAAACCGAGUCACGGGGUGUACGGCCGAGGUGUGGUUGGAUGUGAGGUUAGACGAGUUCGGGGGGACGAGGUUCGCAGUGGAUAGCGAUUCGGAGAUCACGAAGGGGUUCUGUUCUUGUUUGAUUCGGGUUUUGGACGGAGCUGCGCCGGAGGAGGUUUUGAAGAUGAAGGCGGAGGAUUUGAUGGAGAUGAACGUGGGAGUGGGAUUGGGAGUUAGGGCACAUUCCAGGGUUAACGCAUGGCAUAACAUAUUGACCAGUAUGCAGAAGCGGACAGAAGCUCUUGUUGCAGAGCGAGAGAGAAGGGCAGAGCCGCAAACUCAGGUUGUCUCUGGUUGAUAUGACCAGUAUGGAGAUUUUUUCUCUGGUUGUCUCUGCUGAUGAUAUGAGUCCCAAGGCCCAAACUCAGGAGACUUCACUGACACCAAAUCUCUGGAAAGAAGAUUGAAUCACAAGGAGGAAUUUGCAACAGCGCUGUUCUUCAUAUUUGACCAGCACCACGAGGUCCUUAACAUUUGGCAUAACAAUUAAUGUGGAAAUCUGAGCUUCUCUUUGCCUAUGCAUGAAGUAUUUGAUUUAGUUCUGAAUACCUACCCUUGCUAUUGUUCUCUCAAAGUGAGAGUACAAUUGGGUGAUCUUGUAGUCUUCAAGUUGCAUACAAUUUUAUCUUCUUGGAAGAUCCGCCCAUUAAAGCAGAAAAAUGAAGCUAAGAAACAUUACUGGUGAACAGAGAAUGUCAAACAAAUGUUUUGGUUUUUCUUAGGCUACUGCGAUCAAUCCUGCAUAUAUUAACUUCUUCAAGGCACUGCAAUAUCUGCUCCUUCCUUGCAUAUUAUUUACAGAAACACCACAGUAAAGACAAAAGGAUUGCUCAGAAGUUGUAUCAAGAAUGGAUUAUAUACUUCUUUGAGUGCUGUGCAGACUGCAGAUUGUUCUACAGGGAUUCAGUCAAGCACCAAACUAAAACAUAGUAUGGGUGUGGUUCCUUGCCUGCAAACAUUGCAGAGUCCUUUCAGGAUAUGAUCAUCAUGACAGGUAUUGAAUUUGGUGAGAUACAUCCAGAACACAAUAGAGACUCCAUAAGGUCAAAGUCAUGUUGGCUGCAUUAUUGUAAUAUAGGUUCUUAGUUGCUUUGGGAAAUGAGCAGCAUUUUGUUUGAAUGAUAACUUGAAAAUGUAGUCCUUUCAAGUUUUAUCUAAUACUUGUUUUCUAUUCUUGUUAGGACAGACUUUAUAUGAAUUGGUUUUAUUUGAUUUUUA